rnacentral:rRNA from 1 species
AUACGUAGGUGACAAGCGUUAUCCGGAUUUACUGGGUGUAAAGGGCGUGUAGGCGGUUUAGCAAGUCAGAAGUGAAAUUCCCGGGCUUAACUUGGGCGCUGCUUCUGAAACUGCUUUACUUGAGUGCUGGAGAGGAUAGUGGAAUUCCUAGUGUAGCGGUAAAAUGCGCAGAUAUUAGGAGGAACACCGGUGGCGAAGGCGGCUAUCUGGACAGUAACUGACGCUGAGGCGCGAAAGCACGGGGAGCAAACAGGAUUAGAUACCCUGGUAGUCCGUGCCGUAAACGAUGAAUACUAGGUGUAGGGGGUAUCGACUCCCUCUGUGCCGCAGUUAACACAUUAAGUAUUCCACCCGGGGAGUACGGCCGCAAGGUUGAAACUCAAAUGAAUUGACGGGG